UUAUAAUAAAAAUUAGAAUAUUAUAGAUUUUAAUUUUAGGGGCUCAAAUUAAUUUUUUUAAUAAAAUGUCUCAAUUUUUUUUUCGAAUUUUUUGGUCCUUUCCCUUCAAUUCUUACAGUCUUGUUCCUUUUUUAGUAUAUUGUCGUUAUUGUUGUUAGAAAUAACUGAUCGAUGAAUUUGACAAAUUUUUUUUUCUUACUAUUCGAGGUCAACUUUUUUCUUAUCAAAUUUAAAUUUUGGCCCCUUCGAAUCUUAAUUUCUGACUUCGUCCCUAAUUACAAGGAAUACGUAUGCAUUGAAUUU
rnacentral:lncRNA from 1 species